rnacentral:antisense_RNA from 1 species
AUUUUGAACAAAUCUCUCUAGGGAUUGAACAGAGCUGCGCCUGGAUCCUGCCACAGUGAGGAGACCUGAAGACCAGAGGAAGCACAGCAA